AUUGAACGCUGGCGGAAUGCUUUACACAUGCAAGUCGAACGGCAGCACGGGGGCAACCCUGGUGGCGAGUGGCGAACGGGUGAGUAAUACAUCGGAACGUGCCCAGUCGUGGGGGAUAACGUAGCGAAAGCUACGCUAAUACCGCAUACGAUCUCUGGAUGAAAGCGGGGGACCGCAAGGCCUCGCGCGAUUGGAGCGGCCGAUGGCAGAUUAGGUAGUUGGUGGGGUAAAGGCUCACCAAGCCGACGAUCUGUAGCUGGUCUGAGAGGACGACCAGCCACACUGGGACUGAGACACGGCCCAGACUCCUACGGGAGGCAGCAGUGGGGAAUUUUGGACAAUGGGCGAAAGCCUGAUCCAGCCAUUCCGCGUGCAGGAUGAAGGCCCUCGGGUUGUAAACUGCUUUUGUACGGAACGAACGGACUCUGGUUAAUACCUGGGGCUAAUGACGGUACCGUAAGAAUAAGCACCGGCUAACUACGUGCCAGCAGCC
rnacentral:rRNA from 1 species